rnacentral:tRNA from 1 species
AAUAGGGUGUCUGACUUAGGUGAUAAACUGUAAAUUUAUUUAAGGAUUUUUUCCUCCUAUUA